rnacentral:rRNA from 1 species
UACGAAGGGGGCGAGCGUUGUUCGGAUUUACUGGGCGUAAAGGGCGCGCAGGCGGUUCUGUUUGUCGAGUGUGAAAGCCCCGGGCUCAACCUGGGAACUGCGCUCGAAACGGCGGAACUAGAGUUCGGGAGAGGAGAGUGGAAUUCCCAGUGUAGAGGUGAAAUUCGUAGAUAUUUGGAGGAACACCGGUGGCGAAAGCGACCAUCUGGGGCGUUACUGACGCUGAGGUUCGAAAGCUCGGGGAGCAAACAGG